GUUCGGUCCCUAUCCGGCGCGGGCGUAGGAUAUCUGAGAGGAGCUGGCCUUAGUACGAGAGGACCGGGAUGGACGGACCGCUGGUGUAUCAGCUGCAUCGCCAGAUGCAUAAGGCUGGGUAGCCACGUCCGGAAGGGAUAAACGCUGAAGGCAUCUAAGCGUGAAGCCCCCCUCAAGAUGAGAUAUCCCUGGCUUGUCCAGUAAGACCCCUUGUAGAGUACGAGGUUAGAUAGGCACAAGGUGUAAGCAUGGUAACGUGUUCAGCUGAUGUGUACUAAUAGGUCGAGGGCUUAUCCAU
rnacentral:rRNA from 1 species